rnacentral:misc_RNA from 1 species
UUGGCGUCGUCGAGCGCCUCGAGGUCCAGCCACAGCGCGGCGGCCUUGACGUCGAGCGCGGCCUGUAGGCGGUUCACCACGGCGUCGAACGACCCGCAGCAGUGCCUGGUUCUCGCGCACUUGGACCUCGAGGUGCGCCGUGAGGGCCCAACCACCGUCCGGCACGGGCGGGCCCACUGGCCCGCUCCUCGCGAUCCGCUUGAGCUCCGACAGCCUCCGGAGGUGCGACACAGCGGCGGCGUCCGCAUCCGGCAGGAACGUCGUGUGGGCGGCCUGCAGGUGGAGGUACGCCGCCUGGAAAGACGAGGUCGUCGCAAGCGCCGCGGCGACGGCGGCAUCCUGCCCGGACGCCGCCUUCCGAUCCCCUCCCCAUCAGCGCUAGGAAAGAUAAAGGAGCUCACAAAGAUAUACUUAUUGGAUGAGGAUCUGACGCUUGUCCAGGCACCUCCUUUAUAUGAUCCAUUCAUAGUAACUGAAGGCACUGAGUCAGAUGAACAAGACGAUGAGCUAUCAUCCACAGUAGAGGGCUAG